AAAGCUUUGGUCCUGGGCUUUCCGUUGUUUACAAUUAAGAUUAUACAUGCAAGCCUCAACAUACCGGUGAGAAUGCCCACAACACCUAAAAAGACAGAUUGGAGCAGGCAUCAGGCACUACCCUAUUAAGCCCAUAACGCCUUGUCACACCACACCCCCACGGGUAAAUCAGCAGUAGUAAAUAUUGGGCCAUGAGCGAAAGCUCGACCCAGCUAUAAUUUUUAGGGCUGGUUAAUUUCGUGCCAGCCACCGCGGUUAAACGAAAGGCCCAAGACAACGACCGCACGGCGUAAAUUGUGACUAGAUAAAAAUAAUAUUAACAAUAUUUUAACCUAAUAUCCAGCUGUAAAAAGCUUAAAUAUCAAGGACUACCAAAACAAAUAUUUUUAAUAUAAUUACCUUGACCACACGAAAGCUUAGGAACAAACUAGGAUUAGAUACCCUACUAUGCUAAGCCCUGAACAUUGACAGCCACCAUACGUGCUUUCCGCCAGAGAAUUAUGAGCAAAAAGCUUAAAACUCAAAGGACUUGACGGUGUCCCACAUCGACCUAGAGGAGCCUGUCCUGUAAUCGAUACCCCCCGUUCCACCCAACCCUUGCUAGCACAAUCAGCCUAUAUACCGCCGUCGACAGUUUACCCCAUGAGGGAUCAAUAGUAGACACAACAGUUAACAACUAAUACGUCAGGUCAAGGUGUAGCAAAUGCAAAGGAAGAGAUUGGCUACAUUUUUUAUUAUAAAAAACACGAAAUGCAUUAUGAAACCCUGCACGAAGGCGAAUUUAGCAGUAAAAUAAACAAGAGUGUUUAUUUUAACACCGCUCUGGGACGCGUACACACCGCCCGUCACCCUCCUCAACCACACAACCAAUAUAAAUAAACACACACUCGACACAAGAGGAGGUAAGUCGUAACAUGGUAAGCGUACCGGAAGGUGUGCUUGGACUAA
rnacentral:ncRNA from 1 species